rnacentral:rRNA from 1 species
CAGGGAAUCUUCGGCAAUGGACGAAAGUCUGACCGAGCAACGCCGCGUGAGUGAAGAAGGUUUUCGGAUCGUAAAACUCUGUUGUUAGAGAAGAACAAGGACGUUAGUAACUGAACGUCCCCUGACGGUAUCUAACCAGAAAGCCACGGCUAACUACGUGCCAGCAGCCGCGGUAAUACGGAGGGUGCAAGCGUUAAUCGGAAUUACUGGGCGUAAAGCGCACGCAGGCGGUCUGUCAAGUCGGAUGUGAAAUCCCCGGGCUCAACCUGGAAACUGCAUUCGAAACUGGCAGGCUAGAGUCUUGUAGAGGGGGGUAGAAUUCCAGGUGUAGCGGUGAAAUGCGUAGAGAUCUGGGGGAAUACCGGUGGCGAGGGCGGCCCCCUGGACAAAGACUGACGCUCAGGUGCGAAAGCGUGGGGAGCAAACAGG